rnacentral:lncRNA from 1 species
GGGGGUUUUCCGCCUCCCCGCACAGCCAACGCGGCCAUUCGGCGCACCAAGCAAGGGCAUCUGCCUUUCGAAUUCUGUACCAUGUACAAACUGUACACAAGUAACUUUUUCUUGUUUUGCUUUUUAGGGCCGCACCCGCGGCACAUGGAGGUUCCCAGGCCAGGGGUCGAGUCAGAGCUACAGCUGCUGGCCACAGCCACAGCCACAGCCACAUCAGAUCCAAGCUGUGUCUGUGACCUACACCACGGUUCACGGCAACACCGGAUCCUUAAUCCACCGAGUGGGGGCAGGGAUCGAACCUGUGUCCUCAUGGAUACUAGUUGGCCUUGUUACCGCUGAGCCGCAGUAGAAACUCUGGACAAGUAACUGCUUCAAAGAGACUUUCUUCUUAGGAUCUCACCUUUGCUGCAAAGAAAAACCCAAACAGGCUUUGUGAUUUUAGCCUGUUGUCCUCCCUCCCAGCAGCCUCUAAAGGGUUUAUUUUUGAGAUUCAUUUUUCCCCGAGUAGGAAUCAUGCCUUAGAAAACAAGUCAUUAUCAUGCGUUUGUGUUUUAAAUGACCUGGUGUUCUCACUCUGCUCCGUUUAUAAUAUCUUCCGUUCAUUCAUUCCACAAACAGAUGCUCUCCGCCAUCUACAGACAGAGAAUCCUGUUGUGCUGGAGCCAGAAGGGCCGGUUUCGUGGGAGAGCUGGAAACGGACCUGGAACCUCAAGCCCCCCCCAGGCCCGCAGGAGGAAGCCUCAGCUGGGAGCCAGCCCAACACCUCUGACACCGGCCGCCCUGCCUUUGGGCGAAGAGGGAGCCGGCCUCGGGCGCGGAGGCUUCCGCAGGCGCCGGUGUCCAGCUGGGAUUUGCUCACACGUCCUUGCACUGGUGUUUAUGGCAGCCCUCCGUUGACGGUAAGUGAAACCAGAUUUCCCAUCAGAGCAGUGGUAGCAAGUUUUGUUUUGAAACAAAGGUGUGUAAGCUCCGGGGAAAGCAGCCGGCCUUGGAAAGUGUAUUGCUGAUGGCACGGGGGUUCCAGGGAUUGGGCGAAAGCCGAGGGAGGACUGGAGAGAGGCUGGGAGACACCGACGCAGGAAGGGCCCUGAAGUCCAGUGGGUGCCCCUCAGCAGAGGGCCUGCUCCACUCCUGGGGGGCGUCUGUCCUCCGCCCGGUUCUUGUGCGACCAGCUGACGUCACGGGGAGGAAGGGUGUCCCUGGGCUCUGCGGGGCAGCCACGGAGGGGUGGCUCUCAGGACAGUCCUUGCAUCAGGCUCGGGGGAGGGGACGCUCUCUGCCCUGAUCCCCCUCGGCCGUGAAGGCAGGAGUCUGGGGUGUGCGGUGGCAUUGGUGUCCUUUUAUUCGUUUGGGCUCUUUGGAGAAAUUAAGCCUGAAAAAACAAGCCUCCCCAAAAUAAAACAUUUAAGAUAAGCUGUCCAAACACGACCAGGUAGACUUUGCUCUCCCGAAAUGUGUCUAAAAAUGAAGCCAGGCGUUCCCUGGUGGCUUAGCGGGUGGCUCGGGCCACUGCUAUAGCAUGGGUUCGAGCCCCGGGCCAGGGAUUUCCACAUGUGCCGUGGGCCCAGCCAAAAAACUAUACAUUAAAACGAAAAAAUAAAAGCCAAGCCGUAAGAAGGGUUUGAGCGUAAAGCUGUGACGGGUGUGGUCAGGGCAGUGUCUGGUCGCUGAGGGCAGGGUGACCCGAGCGUGGGCCAGCAGGGAAGUGGCCCCUCUGGGACCUGGAGGGUGCUGCUGUGGCGACAGGGACCUCUCUGCCCCCUGGCCGGGGCUUCCUCUUCAGACUCCGCCUUGGGGGUAGGAGUGCCCCUGCCCACUCCCCGGGCCCCCCCGCCCCCCAAAGGCAGGGGAUUUCCUUCGGGGCACAGACGACACGGCCCCCUCGCUCCCUCCGUCUCUGUGCUCCCCUGUGUGCCGUGGGUUGUCACCAAAUGAGGGCAGAGCCGGUCCUUUGCUGAGUUCCCAGUGCCUUUGCUAGGGUCGGGCACUCCUUUCGGAAGUGUCAACGGGACAGGGGCAUGGAGGGGGGGCAGAAAUGGUCCCACUUUUCUCCUUCUCACAAGGUUCCUGACAGAUUAGUUAGGACAUGACAGAAAUAGGGAGUUGGGGGGGAUUAGAAGUUGGCUUUUUCUUACCCCUGUGCCUUCAUCAUGUAUAAAAGGGAUUAAAACCCCCUGUGGCUCAGCGGGUUAAGAAUCUGACUAGUAUCCAUGAGGAUGCAGGUUCGAUCCCUGGCCUUGCCCAGUGGGUUACGGAUCUUGAAUUGCUGCAAGCUGCGGUAUAGUUUGCAGACGUGGCUUGGAUCUGGUGUUGCUGUGGCGGUGGUGCCAACUGACAACUGCAGCUCUGAUUUGACCCCCUAGCCUGGGAUCUUCCAUAUGCCUAAAAAGAAAAACAAGAACAACAACAAAAGCAAAAGAAAGAAUCUUUUUAAGACGAAAUUUUAAAGAGUUAAAAAUUGCUCUUUAAGGAGUUCCCUGGUGGCACAGUGGGUUAAGGAUUAGGUGUUGUCACUGCUGUGGCUUGGGCUGCUUCUGUGGCGUGGGUUCAUUUCCUGGCUUGGGAACUCCUGCAUGCUGUGGGCAUGGCCUAAAACAAACAAACAAAACAAAUUGCUCUGAGUUCGAAAAUCUAAAGUAAUAUUUGAAAAGCAUUGGUGUGUUUUCAUCAGCUAAGUCACAAAAUGUUCCCGCUGGGGUGGGAUCUGGGAAGAAGAGGCUUCCACAGGGUUCGGUGGGAUAGUGAGGCUGAGGGGUGGUUCGCCCCAGUGGAUGCCGAGGCGGUAACGGUAGUGAAUGACGAAGCCUGACUGGGGCCUCCUUUCAGGCUGAACCUUCCCCACUUUGCUGUCAACCUGGAUUCUGCUGCUACAGCCCUGGGAUGUUCAGGCAAGUCAGUUUGCUUCUCUGAACUUUGUUUUCUCGUCUGUAAAAUGGAGCUAAUAAUAGAACCUCCAUCAGGGGCUGUUGUAAGGAUGAAAAGAGUCCUCAGAAAAGUGGCUGCCACAUACUCCGAAGCUCAGGACACAUCAGCUUUGUUUUCGAUUCCAAGAAUCUGAAAGCACGGGAAAUCAUUCUGAGGGGAAAAUGUGAUUUACAGUCUCUAGGAAAGAAAAUAUACACAAUAAUGAGACAGGUUCCAAGAGACAUGUGUUGUCAUCUGUGAGUGGAGCUUUUCCUGCCUACACAGUCUCGGUAACUUCCUUAAAGAUACGUGCUCUCUUUGUAACCCUUAAGCUCCCACACGUUGGAGGCUUUCUUUUCCUUUCUCUUCUUCUUCUUCUUCUUCUUUUUUUUUUUUUUUGCCACACCCAAAACAUGCAGAAGUUCCCCAGGGCCCGGGGAUUGACCCCCUGCCACAGCGGUGACCACACGGAGUUCUUAACUGCUAGGCUGCCAGGGAACUCCCAGAGGCUUUCUUAAGUCAAGCGUGAGUGACUUCUGCUUCUCUUCCAUGCGCAAGAGAUUCCUUAAAAUCUAACACCUUUAGCCCCAUUAAAAAAAAAAAAAACUCAAUAAAUUAAAAGUGAACCACAGAUUUGUAAUUACUGCCUGACAACGAAGAUUAUACUUUGAAAUGCAAGAGACUGAUGGUGAUUGCAGCAAAAACUGAUACAUAGUACAUUUUUAUGUCCCCACUUUACUGAAAUGAUUUUUGACCUAAAAAGCAACCAGACACACCUAAACGUUCUCUUAGGCUUCCGUCCCCUCACCCCACCUCUUCCAAAGGCAGCAGAAUCUCUUCCCUGUGGGGUCAGUAGAGGAAAUUGUCAUUUCUGCUCCAGAGCCCUUUGCACAUCCCCUGGGAUCUGCUGCCCACGACUGCAUGCACAUGGGCCAUGUCCUUGCUUGCUUGCUUGCUUUCUUUUUUUUUUUUGCUUUCUGGGGCCUCCCCCGUGGCCUAGGAAGCUCCCAGGCUAGGGGUCGAAUAGGAGAUACAGCUGCUGGCCUACACCACAGCCACGGCAAUGCCGGAUCCUUGACCCACUCAAGCGAGGCUGGGGAUCGAACCCACAUCCUCAUGGAGACUAGUCGGAUUGUUUUCGCUGUCCGCAAAGGGAACUCCCCACAUCCUUUGUAAAAUUCAGUGUCCACCUAAGUCCCAGGGUACGAGGACAUUGGGGCCGAGGC